rnacentral:sRNA from 1 species
GAGUGUCGGGACACCUUGCCAGUACCCUAGCCAGAAAGAACACAUCAGUGGGGACUCCCUAUUGGAUGGCCCCAGAGGUAAUUGCCUGUGAGAGACAAGUGGAGUAUAACUAUGACAUUCGCUGUGACAUUUGGUCUCUGGGUAUAACUGCCAUAGAGCUUGCUGAUGGGGAGCCUCCACUUUCUGACCUCCAUCCCAUGAGAGCACUGUUUAAAAUUCCAAGUCUGUUGAACAAAGACCAGAGAAACCCUCAACCUCAGUUUGCCAACCCUGAUCGAUGGUCCGAGGAUUUCAAAGACUUUAUAGCUAAGUGCUUAAUCAAAGACUUUGAAGUGCGUCCAUUUACUCAUGAUCUUCUGCGGCAUCCAUUUAUAGCCAAACUUCCUGACGACACAUCACAGUUUCGGAAAAGACUUAGAGAACUAACAUCCAAAAUGGAAACUACGCUGCAUGAACCAGAAAUCACAGCCAAGAAAGGAAGGCUGAAAUCCCGACGAAAAUCUCGCAAAGAGAACAUCAACACGACUGAUGAUUUAGCCACCCUGGAGAACUUAGAUGAGGAAACAAUAGUUUCUCAGCUAGAGAGUCGAUACAGCCAGGGACAGAUCUAUACCUACAUCGGGGAUAUACUGCUGGCAGUUAAUCCCUUCAGACCACUCGUCAUUUAUACAGAAGAGUACUCUCUGAAAUACAAGAAUGCGAGCAAGGAAGACAACCCCCCACACAUCUUUGCUGUGGCAGACCAAUCCUACCAAAGCAUGAUGCACAACAAGAAGAACCAGUGUAUUGUAAUCAGUGGGGAAUCUGGGGCAGGGAAAACCGAGAGUGCUAAUUUACUGGUGCAGCAGCUGACACAGCUAGGAAAGGCUGCCAACAGAAACUUGGAGGACCGAAUUCUACAGGUGAAUCCUCUGAUGGAGGCAUUUGGCAAUGCCAAAACUGUCAUCAACGAUAAUUCCAGUCGAUUUGGAAAAUAUCUAGAAAUGUUCUUCACCAACAAUGGAAUGGUUGUCGGAGCUAAAAUCACGGAAUACCUGCUAGAGAAGUCUAGAGUUAUAUCGCAAGCAAUAGGGGAGCAGAAUUUCCAUGUGUUUUACUAUAUAUACAAUGGACUGAGUCCUUCAGAAAGAGCAGAAUACAACCUCAAGGAAAACACAAGAUACAGAUACAUUGAUGAGUAUUCCAGUCAAAAUCCAGAUGUCUCUUCAUUGUCCGUCAACCGGGUCAAGUUCAAGGCCAUAGAGCACUGCUUUGACAUCAUUGGAUUUAAACCGGAGGAAGUAAAGGCAGUAUACAGUGUGAUCUGUGCAAUAUUACAUACGGGUAACAUAGACUUUGAUGAGAAAGAAACUACUGACCAUAAAGGGGACGCUUGUGUAAUCACCAACAUGGACCUUGUCAAUACCAUUUCCCAUUUACUUGGAAUUCCUGCCAUUGACCUUGUGGAGUCCUUGACAACGACAGGAAUGGUCGCUCGAGGAGAGCUCAUUGUGAGAGAUAACUCUGUUCCUGAGGCCAUUGAUGCCAGAGAUGCCAUGGCGAAGGCUCUCUAUGGUCGAUUAUUCAGCUGGAUCGUAAAUCGCAUCAACAGUCUUCUGAAACCAAGCACGAUGGGAAGAGACGACAAUCAGCCCAUUAUCGGAUUGUUGGAUAUCUUUGGAUUUGAAAACUUUCCCAAGAACUCCUUUGAACAACUCUUGAUCAAUAUUGCUAAUGAACAAAUCCAAUAUUACUUUAAUCAACAUAUCUUUGCAUGGGAACUGCAAGAGUAUCGGGGGGAAGGUUUGGAAGGAGUCAACAUAUCGUUCGUAGACAACCGCCCCCUGUUGGACAUGUUUUUGAUGAAGCCUCUGGGGUUACUGGCCUUGCUGGACGAGGAAAGUCACUUCCCAAAGGCAACAGACAUGUCCCUUGUUGAAAAAUUCCAUAAGAACAUUCAAAAUAACAACUACAGCAGACCAAAGGGAAAUAACCUCACCUUUUCUAUAGACCACUAUGCUGGCACGGUGGUGUAUGAUGCGAUGGGGUUCUUGGAAAAGAACCGAGACCGGCUCCCCGGGGAUGUGGUCAGCAUGCUGCGUGCCUCUAAGAAUGAGGUCAUUCGGUCACUGUUCAGUACCCCCCUCACAAAGACAGGAAAUCUAGCAGAUGGCACUAUCAGAUCCAGUCGACAAACUCCAGCCAGUUCUCCUGGGACAUCUGGACCAAUCCAGAUCAUGUCCUACAACUCCAAAUCCUCCAGCAUGGGAGGAAGUCGGAUCUAUGGUGCUCUUGGGUCAGGAUCCACCAGUAUGACCAAAAUUCAGCAGACGGUGGCGACCUAUUUUCGAUUCUCCUUGAUGGAUCUGCUGGCCAAGAUGGUGGCGGGCUCUCCUCACUUUGUCAGAUGCAUUCGUCCUAAUGAACAGAAGCUUCCUGAUGACUUUGAGCCUGAUAAAGUGACCACACAGCUCCGUUACACGGGGGUCCUGGAAACGACACGCAUUAGGAGGGAGGGCUACUCCCAUCGCAUUCCUUUCGGAGAAUUUCUCAAAAGGUACUCCAUGUUGGCCUUUAGGUGGGACGAGAAGGUGGAGCAUACUCGAGACUGCUGCUUCACCCUGCUGGACAGACUCAACAUGUCCAUGUACCAGCUCGGCAAGACCAAGGUUUUUCUGAAGUACUACCAUGUGGAGCAGCUAGCUAGAUUGUAUGAGCAGAGAAACAAGAAGAUUACGUGUAUACAGGCCACCGUUCGGCGGUUCCUGGCAAUUAAUCUAUUCCACAGACUCAAAUGGCAGAGGGAGAAAGCUGUGACCAAAAUUCAAGCAUGUAUAAGGACAUAUUUAGCAAGAAAGCAGUACAAAAAAUUGUAUAUUGCACAGAAAACUUCAGCUGUUCAACUACAAAAAGUGUUUAGGGGAUAUAUGGUGAGAAAGAAAAUGAAACCAAUGAUUGAGGAGAGGAAAAAAGCAGCUACUACAAUACAGGCCAGAAUCAGGGGCUACUUUGUCAGGAACAAACAGAAAAAGUCACAAAAGGAACAGGAGAGUGCUCUCAAAAUCCAGAGAGCCUUCCGUUCCCACAAAGCAAAGAAGGCCAGCAAGAAGGAGCAAGCCCUGAGGCAGGGAGACAGAGAAGGGGCGGCGGAUCCUCAUACAGAGCUAUGUACGGAUGUGGCAGACCAGAGUCAAGUACCUGAAACUUCAGGACUUCGAAUUCCAGAAGGAAGUGCAACUCAGCUUAUUUGCCCAACAGGUUGA